rnacentral:sRNA from 1 species
GCCAGGCGUGGUGGCACAUGCUUGUAAUCCCAGCGACUUGGGAGGUUGAGGCAGGAGGAUUGUGAGUUCAAACCUAGCCUCAGCAAUUUAGCGAGGCCCUAAGCAACUCAGUGAGACCCUGUCUCUA